GUGGAGCAUGUGGCUUAAUUUGACUCAACGCGGGAAAUCUUACCGGGUCCGGACACACUGAGGAUUGACAGGCGCUUGCAGUGGCAGUUGGUGGCGUGGCCCUUGCGGGUUGUGCCGCCCGCUGCCAAUGCUUUCAAAUAUGCUAGUCCUUUCAUGAUUGUGUGAUAGGUGGUGCAUGGCCGUUCUUAGUUCGUGGAGUGAUCUGUCUGCUUAAUUGCGUUUCACAAGGGACUUGCAUGACAUACGUUGGGACACGGUGCCCUCCCCACGCUGCCCCUCUGGGGCCGGGGGAGCGUUGCGCCUGUCUUUCAAUAGUCAACAGUCCCGAAGGCAACGAACGUGACCGCAGCCUGCUGUUACCUCUCUGUUUUCCACUUCGGGGCUGUGCGUGCCGUGUGGUCGCUUCGGUGGCCCGCGGUUCCGUGCUGUCCCCGUUGAGAGGGGUAAACUGCAGGGACCGCCGACGUUUUCAAACCGGAGGAAGGUUGCGGCAAUAACAGGUCUGUGAUGCCCUUAGAUGUUCCGGGCUGCACACGUGCUACAAUGAUUAUUGCAGUGAGCAUCUUCACAAGUUCGUGGGUUGUCUGCGCCUUGGUCAUUUUGCCGUGUCGGCGUGGGGAACCGGUGUGCGGCCUUGUGUGGCUUUCUUUCGGGAAGGUUGCGCAGGUGUUCCGCUGCGCUGGGAAUCCACGUCACUGGCUUUGGCCUGGGCGCGCAACCGUUAUCACGACACGCCUGCUUCGAAAGUAAGCAGGUAAUCAAUUCGAAGUAAUGAUUUCCACUCGCACUCCUGAGCGCUGGCGCCGACUGGCUUUUAGCUGUGUCACGCCAGCGUGUGCUCCAUAACUUCGUGGUGGGGACAGACCCUUGUUAAUUGUUGGUCUCGGUCUCAACUAGGAAUGCCUUGUACGGGUCUUUGGUUCAACAAACCACCCGGAAUAUGUCCCUGCCCUUUGUACACACCGCCCGUCGCUCUUACCGAUGGACUUCUCUGUGAGUUUGCGGGACUAGGUCGACUGCUUCGGCGGCCGACCGAUGGAAACGUACACGAACAGUGUGGUCUAAAG
rnacentral:rRNA from 1 species